rnacentral:lncRNA from 1 species
AUACUUGUGGAUGAAUCAAUAUGUCGUUGACAGUGAACAUGUGCUCAUGCGUAGCACCUAUCUUAAUUGUCAUUGUCCAUCCACUCAUCAAGUAUAUCUCGCUGACUAUGGGUCAGACAGAUUGUUAACAUCAGAAUAACCUGGUAGAGAACAUAGCUUAAUUUUUUAAAAUUAAGAAUAAUUCUUAGGUUUAUGAGCCAGUCAAUGUAAUCAAUUUUGAUUAAUCGAUUGAUAUUUAGAAUUUGAGC